GUCUGGCUUCCGUAAACAAGAGAUGGAUUGGAGAUUUGGCCUUGUGGGAACACUAACCCUAUAAAAGAGCGCGUCUGUUAUUUUUUUCGCUGGUUAGCGAAAGGACUAUUUCGUAGAACACGCCGUCUACUGUUUCGGAGAGGUACAGCCGUUCUGCAACCAGGAAGGUCUGUCCAUUGAGCAGGUGCUCCGAGCCCUGGCUGUCCUCGCUGCCGAAGUGCAGGCGGAUCUCCUCCA